GUAAACAUAGGAACCUUAUCCCAAUUAUUCCACUGACUAUCCUGCUUUUACACCACGCUAAGGUCGAGUUCCAGCUCUUCAGAUAACAUACGCCACACCUUGGCAUACAAAGACGGGUUUUCUAAUUACCGACAGAUCACCAUGAAAUACCUCAUGCUACUCUGCAUUUCCUUCUCCGUGUUCAGUGGUGCCUUGUCAGCUGCCAUCACUGACGACACGUGCAAGAUGGUGUACGGAGGCAGUUGUCUUGACAUUAGACUAGCAUUCUGUAUCAACGUGGCCAGGGGCAUCUGUUCGGGGCAGUUCCACGAGUGCUGCUACGCUAAUGUCAACGUUGGACGGUAAAUAAAUGAUGACAUCUGGCGAAACAGCAACUGAAACACAUCAGUUUUGGAACGAAACCUGUACACAUGUUUAAACAAUGUUUAUCAAGAGUUAUUUAAAACAUUUUGGUGUUUUAUUG